rnacentral:rRNA from 1 species
CCUACGGGAGACAGCAGUGGGGAAUCUUCCGCAAUGGGCGAAAGCCUGACGGAGCAACGCCGCGUGAUCGAAUGAAGGCCUUCGGGUUGUAAAGAUCUGUUGACAGGGACGAAUAAGCAAUGCAAAUAGUUUUGUUUAUGACGGUACCUGUUUAGAAAGCUCCGGCUAACUACGUGCCAGCAGCCGCGGUAAUACGUAGGGAGCAAGCGAUGGCCGGAAUUACUGGGGGUAAAGGGAGCGGAGGUGGGCGCUUAAGUAAGGUGGGAAAACUCCGGGCUCAACCUGGAGACUGCACUUGAAACUGGGUGUCUUGAGAGCCACAGAGGAAAGUGGCAGUCCUAGUGUAGCGGUGAACUGCGUAGAUAUUAGGUGGCACCCCAGUGGCGAAGGCGACUUUCUGGACUGUACCUGACGCUGAGGCGCGAAAGCGUGGGUAGCGAACGGGAUUAGAUACCCGAGUAGUC